rnacentral:lncRNA from 1 species
UUAACAAUUGCGUUUAUUAUUGGUAAACAAAUGUAAAAACUAGUUGGCUAAUUGAUACCAGCAAAUUAUGUUUGUUGAUGAUCCUUGAUAGUUGAGGUUAGCUUAGGAUUGUCUAGUUUUGCCAGAUUGUGCCCGUCAGGUGAAAAAUUGACGUUUUUGUUUGCAUAAUUGCAGCUAAACUUGAAAAUGACAUGAUCUUCUUUAGCAUUUUAGCAAAUUAUGAAAUAGUUUUUGCUAGUGUACUAUAAAGCGAUUUUUUUCUGGACAACAUGCUUAGCAUUUUUUUAACACAAUAAGCUUGAUGGCUGGUUAAAAAGGGUCUAGUUUAUUCGAAGGUUUGGCUACAUUGCCAACCGAUCUCUACAGUGUAGAGAGAAUCUGACUUUUUUUUUUAUCGACAGAUCACAGAGUUACAGAUUACAGCUUAGACAAGGAAAGACUCUCUUUCCUUGUCUAAGGAUUACAGAGUGUGAUCAACCUCCACAAAAUAUCCCCCCUGUCUAGGGGGUAUGUUCUGUGUCAACCUCUGUGAUCUAUGCACAGAGGUUCUGUGGCAGUUGUCUUUGUCUAUGCAGUAUAUACAUUGAACUAUAUACUAACUGGAAUGGCAUCGCCCAUAAACAGCUAAUGCUAGGGGCCGUAGCGAGGAUUUGUAUGACAGAGACGGGCAGAGUUUUCCGUUUCAACGACCUGAAAUCCUGUCAAUGUGGAUCAAUGCCAUAAGGCGGGAGGACUGGACAUCAACAAAAAGUAGCAAAUUAUGCAGUAACAAUUUUUGGACACUGAUUAUCAAAUACGCCCUGGGGCCAGUGUUAAAUUAUUAAAGUGUGAUGCAGU